UACAGAGGAGCCAAGCGUUGUCCGGAUUGACUGGGCGUAAAGCGCACGCAGGCGGUCGCGCGCGUGGGGUGUGAAAUCUGGCCGCUUAACGGCCAGGCGCCAUCCCAUACGGCACGACUGGAGUGAUGCAGAGGUCGAUGGAAUUGCCGGUGUGGUGGUGAAAUGCGUAGAGAUCGGCAGGAACACCCAGGGGGAAACCAGUCGACUGGGCAUCUACUGACGCUGAAGUGCGAAAGCCAGGGGAGCGAACGGG
rnacentral:rRNA from 1 species